GAUGCUUACUCCACGAGAAUUUCGGCCAGCAGAAACACUAUGACUUUACAACUGUACAAUAUGUAAAAAAAUGUCCAAAUACAUUUAGCUUUGAAAGUUUGGCGUAUAUAUCUCAAUGCAUAAAUGUAUUGUUUACAACCGAAAAUGUUUUAAUUAUGUUUUUAUUAAUCCAAAACAUACCAUUAGUGUAUAGAGUCAUGUUUAUAUAUGCAUGUAUUUGCAAUAAUAGCCAUUUAUUACACUUUAUUAGAGAACUAUCUAGAACUAAACAUUUAUUUCUAACCAUUAUAGAAGAUUAAGCCUGGCCUGUUUCCACUGAGGUAGCUGAAUUACUUCCUAUCAUUAUCAACAGCAACUAGGAUAUUCUGUUUUACAAUAAAGCAGGAACAACUCUGCUAAAGUUGUAGGGUUGCAUUUGGAUAUCACUCACUCAUAAAGUCUAUUGUCAAGAGACUGAUCCUCUUUACGCAGACUAGGUAUUCAGAUUUUUAAGGCUUGGUACUUAAUGGGAUCAGGCCCUAUGUAGGCCUCAUAUGAAAGAUAAUCCUCGCAUCGGUGUGUUUACAUUGGUCGGGAGGAUCUUUGGAGGCUCGGGUCCCUGAUGUCUUCUCCUCGUGAUGCCACUGAGCCGGCUGCAGGGGGUGCUGGUGAAUCGCUACAGGUGCGGCCCUGCCACAUGAGAACGACAGCCUUCCACCGUCCCCAUGAGCAUCCACCUGUUUUCCACCUACCCCGGUGAUGACUGCUGACGAUCCCUGGGACACCAACAGGAGGCAGAACAGUAGCAGGUAGCUGGGCUGCAUGAUGAGGACGGGUUCCUGUGGUCGCCGGUGGUCAGAGAGUGGAAAUGCAGCCGCUGAGGGUCUUCGGUGCGUGUGCGUACGAGUCGACCGCAGAAGGAGAGUGGCCUCCGAACUCAUGUGCUGAGGACUGAGGGCGGUUUAUAAACCCAGCCCGCCAUUCAGAAAACCCUGUGAGUCACUCACGCCAGCAUCUCCUCACAGAAGCUCCAAAAAAAAAAAAAAUAA